CUUGCCGCCGGGGACCGGCGCACGGGUGAGUAACGCGUAUGCGACCUGCCCGUUGCAGGGGGAUAAUCGGGAGAAAUCCCGUCUAAUACCGCGUAACGCCGCGGGGCUGCAUGGCCCUGCGGCCAAAGGGAGCGAUUCCGGCAACGGAUGGGCAUGCGUGACAUUAGCUAGUUGGCGGGGCAACGGCCCACCAAGGCGACGAUGUCUAGGGGUUCUGAGAGGAAGGUCCCCCACACUGGUACUGAGACACGGACCAGACUCCUACGGGAGGCAGCAGUGAGGAAUAUUGGUCAAUGGGCGCGAGCCUGAACCAGCCAAGUCGCGUGAGGGAUGACGGCCCUACGGGUUGUAAACCUCUUUUGUCGGGGAGCAAAUUCCGCCACGUGUGGCGGAGUCGAGAGUACCCGAAGAAAAAGCAUCGGCUAACUCCGUGCCAGCAGCCGCGGUAAUACGGAGGAUGCGAGCGUUAUCCGGAUUUAUUGGGUUUAAAGGGUGCGUAGGCGGACUGUCAAGUCAGCGGUAAAAUACGGGGGCUCAACCUCCGCCCGCCGUUGAAACUGACGGUCUUGAGUGGGCGAGAAGUAUGCGGAAUGCGUGGUGUAGCGGUGAAAUGCAUAGAUAUCACGCAGAACUCCGAUUGCGAAGGCAGCAUACCGGCGCCCAACUGACGCUGAAGCACGAAAGCGUGGGUAUCGAACAGGAUUAGAUACCCUGGUAGUCCACGCAGUAAACGAUGAAUACUAGCUGUCCGGGGCGAAUG
rnacentral:rRNA from 1 species